UUGAACGCUGGCGGCAGGCCUCACACCUGCAAGUCGAGCGGAUGAAGGGAGCUUGCUCCUGGAUUCAGCGGCGGACGGGUGAGUAAUGCCUAGGAAUCUGCCUGGUAGUGGGGGAUAACGUCCGGAAACGGGCGCUAAUACCGCAUACGUCCUGAGGGAGAAAGUGGGGGAUCUUCGGACCUCACGCUAUCAGAUGAGCCUAGGUCGGAUUAGCUAGUUGGUGGGGUAAAGGCCUACCAAGGCGACGAUCCGUAACUGGUCUGAGAGGAUGAUCAGUCACACUGGAACUGAGACACGGUCCAGACUCCUACGGGAGGCAGCAGUGGGGAAUAUUGGACAAUGGGGAAAGCCUGAUCCAGCCAUGCCGCGUGUGUGAAGAAGGUCUUCGGAUUGUAAAGCACUUUAAGUUGGGAGGAAGGGCAGUAAGUUAAUACCUUGCUGUUUUGACGUUACCAACAGAAUAAGCACCGGCUAACUUCGUG
rnacentral:rRNA from 1 species